AAAAAAAAAAAAAAAAAAAGAAAAGUGCAAGAAUCAGUCCUACAACACCAAGCUUUCUUGACUUAUAUUGCCCGCUGUCCUGUUGAGGAGAGAUCGCGGGAGAGCAGCUGGAUGGGAACCAGCAGCAUGUCAAGCUCAGAAGAAACAGUCAAAUGAGUGGCGUGAGCUAAAUGUCAAUUCUGACAACUACAUUCCACCUGUCAGAUUUCUACUGCAGUCUGAAAUAAAUUUAUUUGCUACCUGUCUCCAAGUGCUAAUCAACUUGCAUCUCUGAAGUAAAUGCUGCUCCAAUGUUUCAGAACCAUUAGUCAUCUUCUGAUCUUAAGACUCGCUCCAAGUGAAACUUGAAGGACUUGGAACAAUACUUUGAAAAAUUACUUGGUAUGACAAAAGUGUACAAGUUAACAUUUAUGUCUGCUUCCUUUUAAUGUGAUGUGUCUGUCUGAGGUGUAAAUGCUUUCCAUCAUAGCAGUCCAUGCUGUGCCCUUUUUGUGUUUGUGACUAAAGCAAUGCUUCAGUUUGAGCAUUGCUGAGCAGUACUUUUAAAACAUCAUGGGUAUCUCUUUUUUUUCCACUCUGCCCUUGCAGCAAGUAGGCUGGGGAUGGGCAAGA